rnacentral:lncRNA from 1 species
CUGGAAUUGUGGGAGAGUAUUUUUGUAACAGCUGUUCAGCAGCCUCAAACCUCCCCUGUUGGUGGUGGGGGAGAGUGCUCCCUAUUAAAGCCAAGCAAGAAGGGCAACAGCAAGCGGCAUGGGGAGCUUGUUAUGUGCGAAGGUCAAAGUAGCCUAUGAGCAGACCAAACUCCCCUCCAAUCCUGGCCAAAUGUGGUAAGUCCUGAGGACCCAAUGUUCAACUUGUCCCCGAGAGAAUUAGUGUGAGGUCAUUUUAAACAAGACUGGAGUCCUAAAGAAGACCUGACUUGAUGGUAUAAGGGGAAUCAGGAGUAAGCGCUACAGGAGAUGGGGUAGAGCUAAACGCGGGAACCAGGAGGGCAAGUGCAGAAACUGAUAACGCUUACUUACAUCAAGAGAAGGGCAGGUGAUGUCUGUAACAGGUCUGAACUUUCUCCAGGAGAGACAGAGUCAUCUUUAACCCUCUGCUAGAACGUCUAGUCCAGAGAAAGCAAAGCCAGCUUACAACGGUAUCAGUCAUGAAAGAACUUUCCUUACUUCUUUCUGCAACCCCAGUGGGGUCUCUGAUGGCAGCUGGACAGUGGAGGAGGAACCACAAGAGGAGCAGAGAAGGAGCCAGUGGACAGGGUUGCUUUCUUCAAGGAAUCCUGAUGGAGAGCUGGACUUCAAAUGUCUUCUUCCUUGGGAAUACCAUGAAUAGGGAGCAACAGCAAAACAAAAGAGAGAAGGAAGAGCACUAAAGCCCAUGAAGUAUUAUUAUAACCUCUCCUUGGCAUUAAAAGCAGGCAGCAGAGAAAGAAAAGAAGUUAAUCCCUGUGAAGACCCCCUCCAGCUUUACUACUACACAAGUGCCCUCAAUCUAGGGCAGGGCUUAGCAAACUUCUGUAAAGAGCUAGAUGGUUAAUUUAGUUGGCUGUGCAAGCCAUGAGGUCUCUAUUGCAAAUAUUCAGUUCAGCCAUUGUAGUAUGAAAGCAGGCAUAAACAAUACGUAAACAACUGAGCAUGGCUCUGUUUCAAUAAAACUUUAUUUAUAAAAACUGGAGACUGGUUG